UACGUAGGGACCAAGCGUUGUUCGGAUUUACUGGGCGUAAAGGGCGCGUAGGCGGCGUGACAAGUCACUUGUGAAAUCUCUGGGCUUAACCCAGAACGGCCAAGUGAAACUGUUGUGCUAGAGUGCAGAAGGGGCAAUCGGAAUUCUCGGUGUAGCGGUGAAAUGCGUAGAUAUCGAGAGGAACACCAGAGGUGAAGACGGGUUGCUGGGCUGACACUGACGCUGAGGCGCGAAGCCAGGGGGAGCAAACGGG
rnacentral:rRNA from 1 species